CCUCCACGACGACGCCUUCAUCCCUGGCAACACCCGGCAGCAGCCCACUACUGACAUCCCGGAGAAGGCGGCGGCUGCCAAGAAGAAGAAUGCGCCGACCAUCUACUACAUCACGUAAGAUCUGCUCUCAAAUGAACUGAAAUGAUGGGGCAAUCUUGCCAGCCAGGUUUCUUGGCUGCUUGUCUUGAAUCGAUUAGAUGAAUCCUGAUUGAUUUCAUUUCCCUUCAAAAAAUCCUGAUUAGUUUCUUGGUUCCAUUGUCUAUCGGUUGCCGGAGGACGCGCUGUCAGAUAACCCAGGUGGUCAUGGAGCUGUGCAAGACGAUGGCCAUCUUGGCCUCAAGGAAGCACUAUUGCAUCAAUAAGACCGUAUGCAUGGCUGAGCCAAUUGACGAGGAAUUGUGACAUACAAGACACAUAUAUUUACUAAUCAUUUGGGUUCUUAAUUGUAAACUAUUUAGUGAGACCUUUUCUCCAUCAGCAAGAAGCUUCUAGAUGACAAAGUUCAAGGAUGCCCAGAAUUCAAAAACUGAGUCAUCGUCCAUCCCUUCGGACCGAUGGCUGCUAUGAAGUUCCUGAUAUUGAGGAUCUUCCUAGGGUCGGAACACAAGUCAAAGGAUGUCCAUAUUUUGCUGCACAAACCAUGCAUGGCAAAAGCAGCACAAUUGAUUUUCUGCCCAUAUAGCAACCUAAUUAGUCCAAUUGUCAGGAGAGCAAUGGACAUUGAUAUCAUUGGCUCAAUUGUUAU